rnacentral:misc_RNA from 1 species
AAAGAGUCUUGGUUUUCAGAAAUGAGACCGACCCUUCAACCCUUUGUAUUACCAUUCUCUCGUUGCCUCGGGGGAACGCAUCUCGUCGAAAGAUGAGAGGCCCCCGGUGGACAUUACCAAACUCGUUUUUACCAUACAGUCAGAGUAAUUGAUUAAACAAUCAAAAACA